rnacentral:rRNA from 1 species
AGUGAACGCUGGCGGUAGGCCUAACACAUGCAAGUCGAACGGCAGCACAGUAAGAGCUUGCUCUUACGGGUGGCGAGUGGCGGACGGGUGAGGAAUACAUCGGAAUCUACUUUUUCGUGGGGGAUAACGUAGGGAAACUUACGCUAAUACCGCAUACGACCUACGGGUGAAAGCAGGGGAUCUUCGUACCUUGCGCGAUUGAAUGAGCCGAUGUCGGAUUAGCUAGUUGGCGGGGUAAAGGCCCACCAAGGCGACGAUCCGUAGCUGGUCUGAGAGGAUGAUCAGCCACACUGGAAAUGAGACACGGUCCAGACUCCUACGGGAGGCAGCAGUGGGGAAUAUUGGACAAAGGGCGCAAGCCUGAUCCAGCCAUACCGCGUGGGUGAAGAAGGCCUUCGGGUUGUAAAGCCCUGUUGUUGGGAAAGAAAAGCAGCAGGUUAAUACCCCGCUGUUCUGACGGUACCCAAAGAAUAAGCACCGGCUAACUUCGUG